rnacentral:rRNA from 1 species
AUGAUGCAGACUGCCCAGAGUUAUCCAACACCACCCUUAGGCCGAUCCCCCUGGUUGCCGCCGCCACCGUCGGUGUCGGUGGCGGCGGUGGUGCCCGUCUCGCCGAAGGCGGGGGGCUAA